rnacentral:lncRNA from 1 species
UCCUCACCGGGGCAUCGGGACCCCUCCUCCGUACAUGCCCGAACCACCUCAGCCUCGCUUCCCGCAUCUUUUCGUCCACUGGGGCCACCCCUACCUUCUGUCGAAUAGCUUCAUUCUUGAUCUUAUCCAGCCUGGUGUGCCCACACAUCCACCUAAGCAUCCUCAUCUCCGCAACCUUCAUUCUCUGAACAUGCGAGUUCUNNNN